rnacentral:rRNA from 1 species
UACGGGGGGGGCAAGCGUUGUUCGGAAUUACUGGGCGUAAAGGGCUCGUAGGCGGCCAACUAAGUCGGAUGUGAAAUCCCCAGGCUCAACCUGGGAACUGCGUCCGAUACUGGAUGGCUUGAAUCCGGGAGAGGGAUGCAGAAUUCCAGGUGUAGCGGUGAAAUGCGUAGAUAUCUGCAGGAACACCCGUGGCGAAAGCGGCGCGCUGGACCACUACUGACGCUGAGGAACGAAAGCUAGGGGAGCAAACGGG